GAAAUAUGAAAAGGCAGUGGGUAGGUCUGCCACCUACCCAAAAUCUUCUCUUUAAAUCUUGUUGGUGAAAGGCCAAUAAAUAUGAGGGAGGGGUUGAACCAAGCUGUUUUUGAAAUAAGAAGGAAAAAGAAAAGGGAACAUUGGUAAGAGUCGAAGGAGCUGAAGAAGGAAAGGAAGGUCGCUGGAAGGAAGGAGCUGAACGUUGGAUUUAACGAACCGUUGGACCCAACCCGACCCAAUUAGCAGAUUCUGAUCCACUACCCAAAACUAGGCUCGAAGGACCUAAUUGUAGAUCUUUGAACGAAUUAGAAAUUUAUUGAAGACCCAAAACAAGCUCGAAAAGUCUACAACAGGUGCUAAGUAGACCAAUGUCGGAGGCGGGAAUGUGUGGAGCCGUGCGGCUACAGUGGAGACCUUUAGAUCGAGUCCUCUAUGUCCAUGUCG